AAUUUUGGACACUGUGGGCAACCCUGAUCCAGACAUCCGGCGUGUGCGAUGAAGGCCNNNCGGUUNUACAGCACUUUUGGCUUNGAANUAAAGUCGCUGGCUCAUACCUGGAGAUGCUGAUGCUACCUGCUGAAUCAGCAUAUGCUAACUACGUGGCAGCAGCCGCGGUAAUACGGAGGGUGCAAGCGUUAAUCGGAAUUACUGGGCGUAAAGCGUGCGCAGGCGGUUCAGCAAGAAGACUGUGAAAUCCCAGGGCUUAACCUUGGAACUGCAUUCUUAACUGCUGGGCUAGAGUAUUGCAGAGGAGGUUAGAAUACCGCGUGUAGCAGUGAAAUGCGUAGAGAUGCGGAGGAAUACCGAUGGCGAAGGCAGCCCCCUGGGAUAAUACUGACGCUCAUGCACGAAAGCGUGGGGAGCAAAC
rnacentral:rRNA from 1 species